ACGCACGGCGCAACACGGAGUACCUGGAUACAGCCCUUAGCUACGGUAUACAGGCCAUAUACCACAAACCCCUGCUGUGCUUUAUUGCUUUUACAAACCAGUUGCCAAGACAGCAAGGCAAGGAACGACACAUCUAAAUGGAAAAUGUUGCAGGGGGGUACCGGUACAGAGUCAAUGUGGAGGCUAUAUACAGGAGGUACCGGUACAGAGUCAAUGUGGAGGCUAUAUACAGGGGGUACCGGCACAGAGUCAAUGUGGAGGCUAUAUACAAUGGGGUACCGGUACAGAGUCAAUGUGGAGACUAUAUACAGGGGGUAUCGGUACAGAGUCAAUGUGGAGGCUAUAUACAGGGGGUACCGGUACAGAGUCAAUGUGGAGGCUAUAUACAGGGGGUACCAGUACAGAGUCAAUGUGGAGGCUAUAUACAGGGGGUACCAGUACAGAGUCAAUGUGGAGGCUAUAUACAGGGGGUACCAGUACAGAGUCAACAUGCGGACGCCCCUUUUAGUCAGUCUAAUUGAGGUAAUAUGUACAAUACAUAGUUAGUAUAGUUAAAGUGACUAUGCAUAGAUGUGACCAGCAGCCAGUGCCAUUUAUCAAGUGGUUUAAGCUGAAUGAUUCACUGGGCUGAGACUAUAGGACAAAGAAAGAUCCUCUCUGGCCUAACGCAGGUCUCUCUCCUCUCUGGCCUACUGCAGGUCUCUCUCCUCUCUGGCCUACUGCAGAUAUCUCUCCUCUCUGGCCUUCUACAGGUCUCUCUCCUCUCUGGGUUACUGCAGGUCUCUCUCCUCUCUGGCUUACUGCAGGUCUCUCUCCUCUCUGGCCUACUGCAG
ensembl:lncRNA